AUCAUUAUAGUUCAGUCGGUAGGGCACGAAACUCUUAAUCUCAGGGUUGUGGGUUUGAGCCUCACUUUGGGCGAAAGAUU